CCUACGGGGUGCAGCAGUGAGGAAUAUUGGUCAAUGGACGAGAGUCUGAACCAGCCAAGUAGCGUGAAGGAUGACUGCCCUAUGGGUUGUAAACUUCUUUUAUAAAGGAAUAAAACGAGGCACGUGUGCCUUUUUGCAUGUACUUUAUGAAUAAGGAUCGGCUAACUCCGUGCCAGCAGCCGCGGUAAUACGGAGGAUCCGAGCGUUAUCCGGAUUUAUUGGGUUUAAAGGGUGCGUAGGCGGGAUGCCAAGUCAGCGGUAAAAAUGCGGUGCUCAACGCCGUCGAGCCGUUGAAACUGGCGUUCUUGAGUGGGCGAGAAGUAUGCGGAAUGCGUGGUGUAGCGGUGAAAUGCAUAGAUAUCAUACAGAACACCGAUUGCGAAGGCAGCUUACCAAACUAUAUCUGACGUUGAGGCACGAAAGCGUGGGUAGCAAACAGGAUUAGAUACCCCUGUAGUC
rnacentral:rRNA from 1 species